GAAUCUGCCUUCAGGUCUGGGACAACCACUGGAAACGGUGGCUAAUACCGGAUGUGCCUUUACGUAAAAGAUUUAUCGCCUGAAGAUGAGCUCGCGUCUGAUUAGCCAGUUGGUAGGGUAAAAGCCUACCAAGGCAACGAUCAGUAGCUGGUCUGAGAGGAUGAUCAGCCACACUGGAACUGAGACACGGUCCAGACUCCUACGGGAGGCAGCAGUGGGGAAUUUUCCGCAAUGGGCGAAAGCCUGACGGAGCAAGACCGCGUGAGGGAGGAAGGCUCUUGGGUUGUAAACCUCUUUUGUCAGGGAAGAACACAAUGACGGUACCUGACGAAUCAGCCUCGGCUAACUCCGUGCCAGCAGCCGCGGUAAUACGGAGGAGGCAAGCGUUAUCCGGAAUUAUUGGGCGUAAAGCGUCCGCAGGUGGCUAUUCAAGUCUGCUGUCAAAGCACAGGGCUUAACCCUGUCAAGGCGGUGGAAACUGAAUGGCUAGAGAGAGGUAGGGGUAGAGGGAAUUCCCAGUGUAGCGGUGAAAUGCGUAGAGAUUGGGAAGAACAUCGGUGGCGAAAGCGCUCUACUGGACCUCAUCUGACACUCAGGGACGAAAGCUAGGGGAGCG
rnacentral:rRNA from 1 species